rnacentral:lncRNA from 1 species
AAUAAUGAAAAAGGAAUUGGAAAGGGUUAAAUAAUGUUAUUAAAAGAAUUAAUUUUGAUAUCGAUGGUAUAAUAAUUAAAUUUGACAGUUUUUUAACUCUAGAAUGAGAGAAAGUUUUCAGAAAUAAGCUACUUUUUUUUGAGAAAAAAAAUAAGCUACUUUGUUGUGAGAAUUUUGUGGGUUAGGGUAUGUCAAGAAGGUAAAUGAGUUAGCUUUUGANAUGAAAGAAUGUACAGAUUAUAUUAUUAAAUAUGCUGAAGAAUUCUAUAGAUAAAUAAAAGUAGGGAAUUGGUUAAUCUGUACUAAAAAAGGCAAGAUGGUAAAGAAAAUGGCAAUGAAGAAGUAGGAGAAGAAACCACAACUUAUGAUGAAGAGAAAUGGUUGCAUGCCGGAAAAAUAAAUUGUCAUAUGAAAAAGAGAAACGGUCGUAUGGAGAAGAUAACUUUCAUAUGGGAAAGAGAAACGGUCACAUUGGAAAGAUAAAAUAUCAUAUGAAAUUAUGGCGAAGAAAAACGGUUGCAUGAUCGGAAAAAUAAAUUGUCAUAUGGAAAAGAGAAACGGUCGCAUGGAGAAGAUAACUUCCAUAUGGGAAAGAGAAACGGUCACAUUGGAAAGAUAAAAUGUCAUAUGAAAAAGAGAAA